rnacentral:rRNA from 1 species
AGCAGCCGCGGUAAUUCCAGCUCCAAUAGCGUAUAUUAAAGUUGUUGCAGUUAAAAAGCUCGUAGUUGAAUUUUGGAUUCUUCCAAUUGGUCCAUCUUUUAGAUGAGUACUGGUUGUGUGGGGUCUAUCCGCCUGGUGAUACGUAAUGUCCUUUAUUGGAUGUUGCGGGUAGUCAGGACCUUUACCUUGAAAAAUUAGAGUGUUUAAAGCAGGCUUAUGUCGGAAUACAUUAGCAUGGAAUAAUAGAAUAGGACGAAGUUGUUUUAUUUGUUGGUUUCUAGGACAACCGUAAUGAUUAAUAGGGAUAGUUGGGGGCAUUAGUAUUCAAUUGUCAGAGGUGAAAUUCUUGGAUUUAUUGAAGACUAACUACUGCGAAAGCAUUUGCCAAGGAUGUUUUCAUUAAUCAAGAACGAAAGUUAGGGGAUCGAAGACGAUCAGAUACCGUCGUAGUCUUAGCCAUAAACUAUGCCGACUAGGGAUCGGGCGAUGUUGUUUCCAUGACUCG